AUUUCCUUCAACUAACGAGCCAAAGACUUGAACGAAGUUCAACCUUUGGCUUGUGAUUGCACAAGUGGACUUUGCUCUUUCGGACGUCUUCCUGUUUACUUUCAUUUUGAUUUAUUGUUCCAAGAUGAUAGGUCGGUAUCACUUUGGAAUAUACCCACGUGCAGAUCAUGCAGUCAGUGUGUCGAGCAUUGUUUUUGGUCAUUAAAGCAAUUUCCCUGUUACAGAUACGCAUGUGACGUAACAGGCUAUUCACAAUCUAUAUAAUGGCCUGCAUUCCCUUCAAAUCAAAAUCAAGUGUCUCUUGAACUAACGUGCUGUUCUCCUGCCUCAUUCCUGUGAGUCCUGAAUCCUACGUAAAAGAAAAAGUAUAGAGGUGAACUUUUCGUCCUAGUUGAAAAGGGAAACGAAGAGUCAACUAAGAAAAAACAGAAUUACAAGCAGAGCCUCAAUUAACCGGGCAGCAGUCACAAGAAAAAAAGCAGAACACCAUGAAGCACGUCUUUCUCCUUCAUCCUUACCCUUCGAGGAGCUUGGUUGCAGGAAACUUUAAAGAUGCUCUUACAACAAAAGCAAGUGGAAAUAUUCAUGUGAGGCAUUUUGCGAGGAUCUACGAUGAUACAGCAAUGCAGGCCUUAACUUUGGAGUGGCUUAACCAAGUUAAUAAUGUUCUUUUAAUUUGCCUCACUUCUGAGUCCAUUCCGCGAGUGGCGCAGAUUAUUCGUGAGAAGCGACUUGCGAAUGAAAGCGGAAUGCUUAAUAAGAAGUUGUUCACUGUUUCGUUUGGAGAACGUCUCCCUGGGUGGCCACCAGAGGGACUACAUAGGGGAUCAUCGGAGGAAAGAGAUUUCUAUUUUGGAUUUCCUGACCCCGAGAACGUUCCACCAGAAGACUUCGAGACGUCACCUACAAUGGCUGCUCUCGUUGCAGCCAUUGUAGGAACAAACUAAGGUGGAAUUGUUCUGAAUAUCUGGAUUUUUUGUUCUCUUGUGUAAGACUGAAGGGUGUUGUAAGUAUAUACCCUGAUAAUUGAAAUUGUACUAGAUGCAGAGAAUUUUGUAUCGAAUUUUGCAUCUUUGAUAAAUAGCUAAUAGUGCAGAACACUGUGAUUGUAAAGAAGGAAUUUAAUGAUAAGAUCAUGUGUAUCAAGUCGAGAAUUUUUGGGAACAUUUU